GAUGAAUCUUGGGUUAACGGCUCUUCUGAGCUGGGUCAACAGCUUAAAACUGUCUGAGCGCGAUAUGACUGUCGACGAUUUACAAGAUGGGACAGUCUUACUGAAAGUUGUUUAUAUGCUGAAAAAGGAACCCAACUCCUGUGUCAGUAAUACUAUCAAGGAUCGAUUCCAGUUCAUUGCAGACUUUGUGGAAAGGGAUUGCAGAUUUAAUGCAGCCAAAGGCACUUCA